rnacentral:rRNA from 1 species
UACGUAGGGACCGAGCGUUGUCCGGAAUCAUUGGGCGUAAAGAGCGUGUAGGCGGCCACUUAAGUCCUGCGUGAAAUCUUGCGGCUCAACCGCAAGCGGUCGUGGGAAACUGGGUGGCUAGAGUGCGGGAGAGGAGAGUGGAAUUCCUGGUGUAGCGGUGGAAUGCGCAGAUAUCAGGAAGAACACCCGUGGCGAAGGCGGCUCUCUGGGCCUUACCUGACGCUGAGGAGCGAAAGCGUGGGGAGCGAACAGG